UUGAAAUUCGGCGUCAGACAGAGAUCCUUGACUUGUAUGUUUGGGAUUUUCCAUAAGGGAUUUUUUUUUUUUUUUAAAUGCCUGUGGCACAACCUCGGUGAAUUUUGAAAACAUCAUGCUAAGUGAAAGAAGCCAGACACAAAAGGCCAACUUCUGGAAAAGGAAAGAAUUACCUGAGCAUCUGGCCAGAAGAUGAGCAUCACCCUUGACCCAGACUGGGUAUUCACCCAAAAUAGACCUAAUCUAACGCAGCUUUUUAGAACUAUCCGGUGAACAGAAGUGUGCAAUUCCUCCGAAGUCACAGAGCAAAGGAGUGGACGAAGGAGAAGGAAUUUGCUUACAGAAGCCAAGCUGCCCCUGUGACACUGACUGUGCCCCAACCCCCUCCUCCACUCUCUUCUCAAGGGACCAUCCUCCACUCUGGACCUACUCACCACUUACAGUCAAGCCUCAAUCAAGCAAGGCACAUCACUCCUACUGGGCACCUAACUCCUGUGUAGAGCACCACUUCUGGAGAUGAGAAGAGGCUGAGCCUACAACCUCCUUUGUGGCAUCUUUAUUUUUCUGUCUGGUACAUGAACAAAGUGAACAUGGUCAAUAAAAUCAACUGCACUGAAACA